UUCCGGUUGAUCCCGCCGGACCCCACUGCUAUCGGGAUGGACUAAGACAUGCGUAGAUCGAGUGACUCAGGCAAAACGAGUCACGGCACACAGNCUCAGUUAACACGUUGGCUAAUCUGCCCUUGGGACGAGAACAACCCCGGGAAACUGGGGCUAACUCUCGAUAGGUGAAGAACUCUGGAAUGAGUCUUUGCCUAAACAACUUCACGUUAUCCUCGUGAAGUCGCCCAAGGAUGAGGCCGCGACCGAUCAGGUUGUUGGCGAGGUAAUGGCUCACCAAGCCUUUUACCGGUGCGGGCCGUGGGAGCGGGAGCCCGGAGAUGGGUACUGAGACAAGGACCCAGGCCCUACGGGGCGCAGCAGUCGCGAAAACUUUGCAAUAAGCGCAAGCUUGACAGGGCUAUCCCGAGUGCCAUCCGCUGAGGAAGGCUUUUACCCAGUCUAGAACGCUGGGGGAAUAAGGAGAGGGCAAGUCUGGUGUCAGCCGCCGCGGUAAUACCAGCUCUCCGAGUGGUGUGGAUGUUUAUUGGGCCUAAAGCAUCCGUAGCUGGCUAGGUCAGUCCCUUGUUAAAUCCACCGAAUUAAUCGUUGGAUUGCGGGGGAUACUGCUUGGCUAGGGGACGAGAGAGGCAGACGGUAUUUUCGGGGUAGGGGUGAAAUCCUAUAAUCCCGGGAAGACCACCAGUGGCGAAGGCUGUCUGCUANAACGCGCCCCGACGGUGAAGGAUGAAAACUUGGGGGAANCGAACCCGGAUUAAAUACCCNGGGUUAGUCCCAGCUGUAAACGAUGCAGACUAGGUGUUUGGACGGCCACGUGCCGUUCUAGUGCCGCAGGGAAGCUGUUAAGUCUGCCGCCUGGGGAGUACGAUCGCAAGAUUGAAACUUAAAGGAAUUGGCGGGGGAGCACCACAAGGGGUGAAGCUUGCGGUUUAAUUGGAUUCAACGCCGG
rnacentral:rRNA from 1 species